GUAAGAAAUAUUGAUAUCUGUCUAUAGUUGAUAUCAUAAUGUUACUUAAAGUAUACUCUUUGUACAUAAAGAUACAUUGUUUACCAAAUAUGGCAGUGUAUCUAAAUGGAUCAUAAGCAUGCAUUCUAGGUUUAUUUUAGCAUAUCCGCUAUUUGUUUUUAUGAUAACUUAGCUACGCCCAACUGGUAAGUUUGAUUGGAAUUGCUGUAAUCGCCAAAUUAAAGCCGUCAGAGUGCGACACGCCAAGUAAAGACAACUGUGAGUAUGAACAUCAUAAUGAAUCUUUGUAUUGUUUUUGCUUACUUACGUCAAGGUUUAUAUUGAUCAGCAUGCUUUAUUUCGAGGUAUGUGUGUUGUAUUGAAAGAUUUAUAACAAUGUAUCCAUAUAAUUAUUCCUUGUGUUGGAGACCUGAAAAAAGACCACCAACCCAAAAGGGCAUCAGAAUAAAGAGAUUGAAGGUUAGUGUACAUUUUCGUUUAACUUUUAUGUGUUAACGGGCCGUUAAGAAUGCAAUAAUAAUAAUUGUAAACAUUGAUAAAGAUAACUAUUUCACAUUUUCGUGAAGAUCCUACACAUUUAUACAGAACGGAUGUAGUGCCAAGAUAGACAACGAAGAAAAUGUGUAUUAAAUAUGAUAUGUUGCGUGUUAAUCCCAGUAACCUGGGUCUAAAAUACAUAUCCAUAAUGGUAAGUAUAUAAAAUUAUAUUGAUUCUAUUUUCAGUUCAUCAUACAUCCCAAUGAAUAAACGAAGACGUCGACUUUCAUAACCAAAUGUCUACAUGUUGAUGAUAAAUGCAUCAUCAGGAGAAUGAUUCCGGGUGGACUCCAUGACAUAUGAGUUGGUUGGAACUGCGGCAAAGCAUCCGUGAGGCAAUUGGAUCCAUAGCUGUUUCAGAUCAACUCAAUAUCAACGGCAAUACUACAAUAACAGAACAUUAAAUUGCUACAGUUACAUACCAAUCUACUGUAGGAUUACCAUAUUAGCUCGGAAAUAAGACAACAAAAAUAACACUAUCAUGAAAAUUAGCCAAUAACUUCAUACAUUGAUAAACAUGCAUUUUCUUACUAAUGACGAAAAUAAGCCGUGUCUUAUUUACGAGCUUUUAGGGUAACGUUCGUUUAACUGAAACAGAGGUUGUUCACAACAAUUAAUAUUGGAUGUAUAUCAUAAGCGGAGCAAAGAUCUUGCUUGAGAACUCUUUACUACUACAAAGAACAAGGGACACUUGAAUGAAAUUAUAGAUUUGAAUUAAUAAAGUAAUUAUAAUACGUGUAUAAACAUCAA